AAGGGAGAAGUGCACUAGAUGGCGCGAGUGUCUUUGUUAAAGACGAAAUUUCGCCAUUUGCUUUUCUGCACUUUUCGAUAACGAUCGUUACGUACUCCAGUCAUGUUGCAGUCCUUUAUUUCCUGAAAUUCUUCGUCUUAAAAAUCGUAAAAAUCUACUUGCAAUUUCAUCGUAUGGCCCGAAAGGCCGAAACUGCUGUACAUUUUGCCAAAAUGUCGUCUCUUGCUGCAUGCAUGGAUGUACGUUUCCUGAGUCGUCACAUUCAGAAACACUUAAGAACAGUUACAGUUAUUUAGGAAAUCAUGUCCAUUGGACCAAAUCUUUUGAUUAUGUUGCAUGACGGAUGUCCAUUUUGCCAAAAUAUCAUCUCUUGCUGUAUGUCUCUUCCCAUGCUGAAGCACUCACUAACUGCAAAAGUAACUGUUGAUUACAUUUUAUUACCAGAAAAUUAGAUGUAGUUAAUUUAUGACCAGAAAAUACCCUUUAUCUGAUUGAAAGCCCCUUAUUGAUCUUGUAUAGAAUUUCAGAUAAGUUUACAUUGCAUAUGCUUUUACAAACAAGUAGGAAAAUCUUGACAGCGGAAGAAUCCAUGUAAAAUUUUCUCAUGAUUGAAGUCCAGUAGAGCUGUUGCAUGCAGUUUGUUGUGCUGGUGUUUUUACAUUCUCUAGUUAUUGAAGUCUUCACCAGAUUCAAUUCUUUACUACUCUUUGAUCUGGACAAACAAAAAAAAUUGUCCCUCUUGAAAGGUGAUCACCAUUUGAGCUUUAAUUAAGGACAAAUCUAGGAUUGAUUGAUCAGAGGUUAAUCCCUCACCGUUGUUUAAUGAAGGGAGUCAGCGGUGGUGUGGCUCUGCAGUACUAAGCCAAUCACAUGGCGCAAAAUGAAUUGUCCCUUACGACCAGACGAUGGAGCAGAUUGCCUUACCCAUUCCGUAAAUGUAUGUAUGUGAGUAUUUUACCAACAAAAGAAAAGUGCGCAUCUUCAACACGGCGGACGACCAGGGAUCGAAAAUGGCCGUCUUUUUUUUAAGGAGUCGACAUGUUUAACAAAAUGAAAUGUAGAAGAAAUUGCGCGAACAGCCGUUUCUCUUUUGGGUCAGCUCGCACAAGUCCAUCUGGAGUCAAAUCCUCUUCAGUUUGGCCGUCAUUAUCAACUUGGUUGUCGCCUUCUUUUACCCGAUUGACACUGACGGACCGGCUCCUGAUCCAUUAGCAUUUGAAACUGCUCUAGCAUUGCCACUUUGAAGCAAACGACCUUUGUUCCUUCUCUACGAGAGGCACCUUGUAGAGGAAUCUCGUGCUGGUGUAGGAAUCCCAACUCAACCGUCGUCUGCUUCACACCCAUGUUCGACACAGUUCGUCAAAUCAAACAUGUACUAAUGAAGAGGAGUAAUUCCAAACCACACUUGCACGGUGUUAGUUAGACCACAACCUUUUACCAGCCUCCAUAAAAGAAAGGAUUCACCAUUGGACUCUUUACUUUUUUCUAG